rnacentral:lncRNA from 1 species
CCUGCUGUGGGAGAGAAGAACCCAGGCUGGUGCGGGAGCCGGUGGCACCAGAGCUGCUACGGGAGGAACAGGGAAACUACGGACAAGUCGGCAUUUUGGAGCUAAUUGACUCCUAAAAUUCUCUUCAGGUAACCGGGGCAUCUUAGGUCCAUGAGCGCAGACCUGAGGGGUGGGCGCUUGGGUCAAGGGA